AACGAACGCUGGCGGCGCGCCUAAUACAUGCAAGUCGAGCGAGAAGACGUAGCAAUACGUUUGUAAAGCGGCGAACGGGUGAGGAAUACAUGGGCAACCUACCCUCGAGUGGGGAAUAACUAGCCGAAAGGUUAGCUAAUACCGCGUACGCUCCUUGGACUUCGGUUCAGGGAGGAAAGCGAUACCGUGGGUAUCGCGCUCUUGGAUGGGCUCAUGUCCUAUCAGCUUGUUGGNGAGGUAACGGCUCACCAAGGCUUCGACGGGUAGCUGGUCUGAGAGGACGAUCAGCCACACUGGCACUGCGACACGGGCCAGACUCCUACGGGAGGCAGCAGUAAGGAAUAUUGCGCAAUGGGCGAAAGCCUGACGCAGCGACGCCGCGUGGGGGAUGAAGGUCUUCGGAUUGUAAACCCCUUUCGGGAGGGAAGAUGGAACGAGCAAUCGUUCGGACGGUACCUCCAGAAGCAGCCACGGCUAACUUCGUGCCAGCAGCCGCUGU
rnacentral:rRNA from 1 species